AUGCUCGCUUCAGCAGCACAUAUACCAAAUUCGGAACCAAACAGAGAUCAGUAUGGUCCCUGCACAAGGAUGACAUGCAAAUUCGUGAAGUGUCCCAUAUUUUA
ensembl:snRNA U6 U6 spliceosomal RNA